rnacentral:rRNA from 1 species
AUGGUCAAGUAUUGCGUCCAUGCUGAGAUCCCCUUUCUUAAGUUUGAAGAUCCCCACCUUCAGCCAUGGAUUGACUCAAUGCAGCCAGCGUUUCAAAUCAAGGGUCGUCACACAAUUCAUGAUGAUGCAGUGAAGAUGUAUAAGGGAAUGAAGAAAGAUAUUGAAGUAGAGCUAGAAAAUUUGGAUUCUCGCAUUUGCUUAACAUCUGACAUGUGGACAUCAUCACAGGACUUGGGCUACAUGUGCAUCACCGCCCAUUAUAUCAAUGCAGAAUUCAACUACAAGAAGACCAUAAGUUUCGCAGAAGUGAAGUAUCCCCACACAGGCUAUGCGAUAGAAGAAGAAAUAGUUCGUUGCUUAACAGAAUGGGGCAUAAGGGGCAAAUUAUUCACUUUGACACUAGAUAAUGCCAGCAAUAAUACUAAUGCAUGUGAGGAGUUAAUAAAAUAUCACAAACAUGAGCUGCUCCUUGAAGGUCAACAUUUGCAUGUCAGGUGUUGUGCGCACAUUCUUAAUAUCUUGGUUCAGGAUGGAAUGAAAGUAAUCCAUGAAGCUAUUGACAUGAUACGUGAACUGCUGAAGUAUAUUGACUCUUCUCCUUCAAGACUUCAAGAUUUCAAUACAAUUACAAGUGGGAUGGGUCUAUGUGCAAAGAAAGGCAUCUCUGUUGAUACACCAACCAGAUGGAACUCAACCUGGAAAAUGCUUGUAGAUGCAUUGACGUACAAAUCUGUCCUCACUUGUUAUGCCAAUAGAAAGAUGAUAGAGUCUCCAAGUGAGGAAGAAUGGGAGAAGGCAAAAGCUAUUUGCGAGUUUCUAAAAGCUUUUGAAGAACUUACCUUGAUUGUUUCAGCUCACAGGAAGCCAACUUCACAUAAGUUUCUGCCGGUUGUGCUUUCUAUUCGCCAUGCAUUGAAAGAUCCGGGUUGGCAGACCUCUGAUGUGUUGAAGGAGUUGGCGACAGUGAUGCAAACGAAGCUCGAUAAAUAUUGGGAUCCCGAGGAGAAGGAGAAUGCAGAUCCUAACCGUCGUAGAAAAAGCAAGGGCAUUGAGUUUAACCAUGCACUUGUCAUUACUACAUUCCUUGAUCCAAGGAGGAAAGAAGAUUACUUGGAUUUCUUCUAUUGCAGGUUGUCCACCAACGAGGAGCAGAUUACAAAACAAGUGGAGAUUGCUUUAGAAUGGGUGAGAAAGUAUGUCAAGGAAUAUGAGCUACUUGCAACGAUAAGCACUGCACACUCGACACCUUCUAGUCAAGGCAAUACCACUAUUGGAUCACCUAUUGCAGGGAAAAGGAAGUUGGAAGAAGAGUUUGCCCAGCACAAGUCUCGUCGGAGGUCACGUGUACACAAAUCCGAGCUUGAUGCGUACUUGGAAGAAGCAUCCGAGAAGGCCGGUGAUGACUUUGAUGUCUUGGGUUGGUGGAAGAGGCAUGCCGAAAAGUUUCCUAUAUUGGCAUCUAUGGCCCGUGACUUUCUUGCAAUUCCUUUGAGCACAGUGGCAUCUGAAUCAGCCUUCAGUUGUGGUAAGAGGAUACUAGGCGACAAGAGAAGCUCUUUGAACCCUGAUAUGCUAGAAGUGCUUGUUUGUGCUAAAGAUUGGUUGUUCAAACCAAAGGAGGGUGAGCUAACCAAUUACAUUUUGGUUCUACUACUUGUGUAA